CCUACGGGGGGCAGCAGUGGGGAAUCUUGCGCAAUGGGCGAAAGCCUGACGCAGCGACGCCGCGUGAGCGAUGAAGGCCUUCGGGUUGUAAAGCUCUGUGGAUGGGAAAGAAUAAGUGUACGCUAACACCGUGCAUGAUGACGGUACCCAUUUAGCAAGCACCGGCUAACUCUGUGCCAGCAGCCGCGGUAAGACAGAGGGUGCAAACGUUGUUCGGAAUUACUGGGCGUAAAGCGCGUGUAGGCGGCAGUGCAAGUCGGAUGUGAAAGCCCACG
rnacentral:rRNA from 1 species